GAUCCAUACUUACCUGGACGGGGUCCGUGGGUGAUCAAGGAGGCCCAGGCCUAGAUUAGUGGCCCACAUUGCACAUACAGUGGGUGCGCUGGUCUACCAUCUCCCCAAGCGGGAGAGUGGACGUCAUAAUUUGUUGCCGAGGGGGUACGCGUACGCGCGGCCCCCGCCCAAUUCAAUGCACAAAUAUUUGUUGAUUGCGUGUUUGGAACGAAAUUAAGUACACCAUAUGAGGUGUUCGACAAAAUGUCUGAACUGUACAUUUCAUGCAUGAGCACAGAGAGCACCACCUCAGUUUGAGAUUUGGAACUAUGAAGAAACUCUAGUCCCCCAAUGUUCAGUUCAGGAGGAAAUUCAGUGCAGCAUAUGAGGUGUUCGAUAAAAUGCCUGAAGCGUAUUCCGGUGGCUCUGCAAAGAAUUUCAUGCAUGAAUACUGAGAGCACAAGUGCAGUUUUUCAAUUUGAACCUUUGAGGAAGCUCUACUGUCCAAUUUCACGGGUAACCCAAGUGUUCUCCAUGUUUAAGAGAGAGAGAGAGAGAGGGAGGAAGGGAGGGGGGGAGGGAGAAGCAAAAGUUCAAUAUGUUGCAAAAUGUUGAUUGAAGGUGAUUUUGCAUCAUCUAUUGCAGCUGAAGAACAAACUAUUUAUGAUGAUGUAUUUCCAUUAAUGGAAUUCACAGAAUUCAGUUUCAAGAAGAAGUGAACAGUAACAGUGAACAUACACCUACGAUAUCCGCCUUCAGUCUCCUUGCUGAAGCUAGAAGCCCAGAGCAGCAAUAGCUAGAAGCAGAGCCAAUGAAGAAGGAAGAAGCCCCAUCUCUCUUUGUUUAAUGUGUGAUAAGCUAAGUUGCAUGGAUACAAGUAUUGGUACGGGUAUAUGGGGCACAACAAAUUUGUAAAAGAUAGGUUACAGGGACACGGCUAUAUAUAUGUAUGUAUGCAUAUUUAUAUAUAUAUAUUAAAAUUAACAAUUUACAUAAGAUCAAUAUUGUUUUCUCAUUUACAUGAGAUCAAUAUAUAAGAAAUAGAUGUGAAGUGUAGAAUAUAUGUCCAAGUGCAUGAGAACGCCUGAAUAAACCUAUGCAUAUAUGUAAGAAGUGUCCAAGAAGUUUGGUAUGGAACACGUACGUGUCCAAUACGGGUACUACUCCGGAAUAAAAAUACCAAGGUAGCAUAGGUGAUAAGUCCCCACAUUAGAUCAAAAAAUGGACGAGAUAUAGCAUAUUUCUUGAUUUUUUUUUUUCUUUUUCUUAUUUGGGUGUCUUGUUGUUUUGUUGAAUAGCGCAAACUUUGUUUCUUCUAUAGAAAAAAGGUAGGGCCUUGAAGGUUUAUUGUAUGUGUAAUUGGUACGUAUGUGUUAAAUAUAAAAAAGGAGCAUAUGUGAUUUGUUAAUUUUCCAUUAGAAGUACAACAUCUAAAGUCAUAAGUGACAUUUAAGGUUUAGAUAUACAGGUUACCGGGUUGAUGGGUAACCGAUUAAAUUUGGAUUGCAUAUGGCGGCAACUGCAAAUGAAUCAAACCGCUUGCUCUUUUCAUCAUCCAGAUUAAGACCAUGUCCAUUCCACCAAUUUCUUGUUCAUUUCCGUAGGUGUUAUUGCCUUUGUCACAAACUUUCUAAUCUAAGAUGCCCAAUUCCUUAAAUUGCCAGAUUAAACCACAUUUAGGAAGAAAUUUAGGAAGAAAUUGACCGCAGCAGAUGAGGAGUCCAACAAAAUUUCUGAACGGUAUUCCUACAGCUCUUCCUUACAUUUCAUUCAUGAACACAGAGAGCACAAGUUCAUCUUUAAGUUGGAGCAAUGAGGGAAAUCUAGCUUCUAGUUACACAGGUAAUCAAAAUAACAUUUUCAACUAUGCUUGCUUCAUUUAUUUGCUGUAAUUACUAUUGUUGUUAUUAUUACUGUCAUCAAAUUUUAUGAUUUUAUGUAAUUCUUUCUGCUUUUUACCUUGUACUGAAAAGAAAACAAGAAGCAGACCCUUUCAGUUUCUCAGAGUCAGAGGCUCAGAUGAAAGCAUUUAUACAACAAAAAAGAGAACUUUAUUCAAUAUAAUCAUUUUUGUGACCAAAAUAACCAGCUUCUCUUGAAGGUUUUAUGAAUUCAUAGUCUUCUACACACAUCAGUACUGCUGAUGAUACAUUCCCUGAACCACUUCUCUGUAUGUGGAUGUCAUCAUUCUUCUUGUUCUUUGUGAGGAAAUUGGCAUACCAAUGUGUAGAGCGCUUUGGUUGCCUCUUGCGCUCUACAUCAUCAAAAUCCACAUAGUACAGGCCAGAGCCUGAUUCCCAGCCCAACAAAAGUUCGAAAAGGUCUACAAAUGACCGCACGAAGCACCCUUUCACAUUUGCUCCUUCCAACAUGAGCAAAAGAAGGAAAAAAAGCAAUAUCAAAUUGAUUAAUAUACUUUAUUGGUCUGCUCUCAUGGAUGCAAGUAUGUGGAUAGGCUAGUCUGGCAGUUAUACCAAAAGCCACCUAUAUAUAAUAGAUAAUUUUAGUUGUAGACUUGUAGUAAUAAUAGGCCUUAAAUGAAAAAUAAAAAAUCAUGGUUUUGCAUUCACUACUGUAAAUCUUUUCAACACGCAGUAUAUGCUUUAUGAACAUCUGCUAUCUAUUACAGAAGAGAUGUGUGAUUGUGUUAAGAGGAUGCGUUUGAUUGUCGCUCUUGCACAAGGUUCAUGUGCAUUCUGAUGGAAUGAAGAGGACGAUUACCAUUCUUUUGGAUGUAAACGGGUGGAUUUCCUUUAUCUUUUAAAGCCCAGGUGGAUCGCUGUUUAUGUCAGCUGGGAUGAACUGGUAAUAUUAGCUAAUGCUAGUGUAUCAUGCCAAAAGAUGAACUUACAAAUAGCCAAAUGAUGUAAGAUGAUGUCAAACUUUUGCCAGACGAGGUUGUGCAUCUGUAUUUUUCUUAGACUCUUCAACAGAUGUGACCAUUGGUUUGUAGAGUUAGAGACUAUUAUUGUCCAUAUAAUCCAAAAACCUAUUAAGAAUGAGAAACAAAACUGGUAACUAUGGAAAACGUGUCUGCAGGGAAGUCGCGAAGGCCAGAGAUAGGACCAUGGGAGUUGUCCUUGACAUAUGCUGAUGUGUAGUGGUUCAAUCCAAUAAAGUCAAAUGAACACUUCUGUUCUGAUCUUCCUUUGGUGAAAGAUGGAAGUCCUCUGACCGGCAAUUUUCUUCAUGAUCUCUCUCCCCAAACACUACCGGUUGAUAAUCCUUGAACAAAGUAGUUCUUUAGACAGGAUAACUCAAGACUGGAAGUAUGUUAUACAACGUCAUGCACUUACCAUCCAACCAUAAAUCCAUUACCCUUCGAGUUGCCUCAACAUCGGCAGAGGAAUUUGAAAAAGGAGAGAACCAAAAGGUAUAGCCAUUCAAGCCUACGCAACCCUUCUACAUAGCCUGCAUACGAAGCUACAACAGUAUGAGAAUGUUUUGUCUGCAUUCAAAGUAAUGGGAUAAAACUGAAAAGGGGUGUAGAAUGUGAAGACUUGAUAUUUGGUUUGAUAUAGGUUGACAACUGCCGAAUGAGCUAAGAGCAUGUUGCGAACUGCAAUAUAAAGGCUCCAAUGUAGAAUUCCCUGCUGAGCAAAAAUUAGCUCCAAAAGGAUAAGAACAGCAGUGCGGUGGAAAAAUUCCAGUGUCAUAGGAUGCUUGGGCUAUUAUAUUGGGUCCGACAAUCAUAGUCCAGUGAGAAACCCUAUCUCCGAAUUCUCUGUGCAUAUUGUUUGGUGGAAAAUUUGUAAUAAGAAAAAUAA